rnacentral:rRNA from 1 species
AGCUUGCUUUUAAAGUUAGCGGCGGACGGGUGAGUAACACGUGGGCAACCCUGCCUGUAAGACUGGGAUAACUUCGGGAAACCGGAGCUAAUACCGGAUAAUCCUUUUCUACNCAUGUAGAAAAGCUGAAAGACGGUUUACGCUGUCACUUACAGAUGGGCCCGCGGCGCAUUAGCUAGUUGGUGAGGUAACGGCUCACCAAGGCAACGAUGCGUAGCCGACCUGAGAGGGUGAUCGGCCACACUGGGACUGAGACACGGCCCAGACUCCUACGGGAGGCAGCAGUAGGGAAUCUUCCGCAAUGGACGAAAGUCUGACGGAGCAACGCCGCGUGAGUGAUGAAGGUUUUCGGAUCGUAAAACUCUGUUGUUAGGGAAGAACAAGUACAAGAGUAACUGCUUGUACCUGACGGUACCUAACCA